UAUAUUUUCCUCACUGGGGACAAGAUGUGUAUCACACAGAAAGAAGGAACAGAAAUCAUCUUAAUCUCACCUCCUAGGAAGCUGUUGUUAACAACUUAGUGUUUGUCUUUCUAGACUCGAUAUCUCUGUACAUGUGUAAACAUACUUUAAAAUCAUUUAUUACUGAUACUUGCUUUGUAUACAGAGAAGUACACAUGAAUACGUAAACAAUAACUAUUGAUGCGCCACUAUAUUCAGAAAAGCUCUGUUGCUGUAAGCAUGUGGCUCGUUGGACUCCCAGGUGAAACCAGGAAGUGCCAGCCACCAUGAUGCAGUAACUCGAAAGCCUCCCUGCCCAUCCUAUUUUUGUAGCAGAGGCAGCCAUGCUUGGUUCGCUCCCCCUGUGCUCUAUCUCUGUGCACACGGAGUAUGGCUUAAGCAAAGCCAAUGCUGUUUCCCACUGUAUCCUCAAAGUGUGGACAAUGCGGAUUUCUGGGUUGGCACAAGCCCCCUCCUGUCUUUGGCUGCUUGGUACUCCAUCAUGGGAGGUGCCACCUUGACUUCUUCAGACUAGAGCAGUCAGCGAUUUACUCUGACAAAGGGCUCUGUGAGAGGUGUGAUGGGCGACUUUCUGCCUUUUUCUCUGGGGACAGAGUAGCCAGAACGGUGCGGGAGGGAGGAGGCCUCACGGGGCUGGCUGGAGACGCCUGGGCUGGAGUGGAGGAUGCUGGCACGGCUUCAGUCUGCCAGCUGGACCUCAUCAAGUGCGGGUGUUAAUUACUGGGAGGCCCCUGGUUCUGUGAGCAGGCGGGGGACGCUGGGGCUAACUCGUGAAUCAGGGUCACCUUGAAACAGACGCUUUCGGGGGGAAGCAAGUUGGAGGAGACUAAGGAGAAACACAGGUCUGGGGCACGGUGGCCCACCAGCCUUCUUUAAGCCACUAGGGCUGUAAAGCCUAUGUUUGGGACGUCCAUAGGAUCAGGCAGGGCCCUUGUGAGGAUGCACGUGUGCCUGCUUUCUUGGUUGCAAUUGGGGUUAGCUCAGUGCAAGAAUAUCCAAACAACAUUUACACCCUUUCCAGAAGUUCUCGGCGUCCACGGAGAGAGCCUGCUUGAACACUUGGGAGUCUGAAGAGUGCAGUACCUUAAUGUCUUGAAAAUGUGGCCCGUGUGAGUGCCAGUUCAGGGCAAGAACCCAGGCGUAGACGGAACUGCCUGAUGGUGCCACGUGGGUCCAGCUGGGCAGCAGCACAGUGCCCCAGCCAGGUGAGCUUGGGGUUGCUGGCACGACAGAGCCAGGUUCUAGGAGAAUUGGAUGAUUUCGUUUCCUCAGUAAUUCUUCACCGGAGCUGCUGCUUGGAUCUGCUGCAGAAAAAUCAAUGUGUUCUGAGUCCAUAAUUUCCCAGGUUGCCUUACUCCAAGUACUUUGUGAAGCAAAGGUGACGUCUCCGGUCACAUCUGCCCACACAGGUGUGUGUGUAUGUGUGUGUGUGCAUGAGCGUGCGUGCAUGCACACGCAUAUAUGUGUAUGCGCACACCCACAGGCAUUCUCCCCUUCCCCCAUGACUCCGCCUCCUAGCACAGAUUCAUUGGAAUUUCACAACCUUUGCAUGCUUUUGUGAAAACACUCAUUUGUGUUUGUGCCAGGCCGCUAAUGGCGGACGCCAAGGUCUGUGAGCCUACCUCUGUUCAGCUCUCGUUAUGGCGAGGAAUGUGCCGUUAAUAAUGCAUCUAUGGAACUCAGCUGUGUGGGAGCCAAGUAAUUAUCCCACCGUAGCGUUCCCGGCUUCAGUGUCAUCACAACUGGGGCUUCAUUAAAAGUCCUAACAGAGACGGUGUUGUGUGCUGCGGCCUGUAUAUAUAUUUUUUCAUUUAAAUUAUCAGCCUUGCUAUGGCUCAGAGGUAAUUUGACUUUUUGAAACCGCUGAGCCCCUGUGAAUUCCCCUCCCCUUCUCCCUCUCUCUGCUCCACCAGCUGAUCAGCCCCAGAAGAACAAAAGGUUUAUCUGAAGCUAUGAAGCAUAUAUUCACCAGCUUCUGGCGUCUAGAUAAAAAAAAAUCAAAGUACUCCAUUGAACAUGUUAAUACUGAGCAAAAUGCACACAGCCAGACACUAAACCUUUACAGGGAUUUGGGCAUUUGAAGAGUGAUACCCACAUCAGGUCUUGAGCUGGGUUUCUUAGCCCCGAGUUGAGUGAGCAGCAGAGAUGGGAGAAAUAACGUGUAUACACUAAUUUGAAGAACAGAAAAUGGAUGGCCGGAGAAUGAGUCACCUUUUGUCUCGAGUCUUUGUUGAGUGUUUGGUUGGAAGGGCAUGGGCAGAGUUGCCAAGAGUCAGGAUUCCCCUUGGCUGUGGCCCUUGAGCUGUAGGAGGUGGGAAGAAGUAGUUCCGUGUGCCUUGGUUUUUUUUCUCUCGAUGCUCUCAGACCCUUAGCUUUCACCAGAGAAGGGCUGGGGAACCUCAGAAAGAGGACCUGUCUAAGCUUAUUGGCCCUGGCAGCAGAACCCUCUGGGGCUUCCUACAAGCUCUGUUUCAUAGAGCUCUGUGUCCAGGGGAGAGCAGCCAUCAGAGAAGAUGUGUAGAAACAGUCGAGUUCUGUGAGCAGGUCAUUCGCCCCAAGAAAGUUGGGGAGUGCCUGUUUGGCGGCCUCUGCCACUUGGGGCAUGGUGGCAGUUUGGUGGCACUUUCUGCAGACUUGUCUGCCACACAGGCCUUCUUGGUUCUAGAUCAAGAAAGAUAUUGACAACAUGUAGGAUUUGUUUCUGCCUCUAGAACCUUCCAACCUAUGAGAGAGGCCAGAGAGCAAACAUCCUGGAUCAUAAGCAGUUUGUGGUUGAACGGAAGAGGAUGUGUAGAGCGGGUGGAAAGCGAGGCAAGGCCUCAGAAGGCUGUAACGCACCCCUAAGACCACCACAGAUGGCAUGUAAGCUAGUCGUGAGGCCAAGGAAGACACAGCACAAUUUGAUGUAGCACACCCCUGCACACACACAGGGGGGAUGAAGACCUAGUUUGCACGUCACGGGUCCCAAUGGGAUCUCCAUGCUCAGCCUCAGAUGUGUGGAGAGAGAGAGCGGUGUUUAGCCCGCUGCACUGGAAACACCCCAGUGGACACCGGGUAGGAAAGCCUCUGAUAAUUGGCCCUUAGGCUUGCGCAUCUCACGGCAGCCAGUCAGCCCUCUACUGGAUGGAACAAGUGCAGGGUCUAAGGACCUCUCCUGUGAGCUUGGAAUUUAUUUCCUCUCAUGCCUUCUGGUUUGUCCUGCCACCCUUUGCCCCUGUGCUAUGUUGAGCAAGGAGCCUUGGAGCCUCGGACAAGACAAUCACAGCCUCUCAGUCAGCUGCUAGACUUGAUGCCCUAGGGAAAGCGGAUGGGGGUGGGGGAGCACCCUCUCAGAGGCCAAGGGGAGGGGAAUGGGGUGAAGAACUCUGGGAGGAGAGGGUACUGAGGGCAACCUUUGGAAUAUAAAUAAAUUAAAUAAUUAAUUAAAAAAUAAAG
rnacentral:lncRNA from 1 species